UACGGAGGGUGCAAGCGUUAUCCGGAUUCACUGGGCUUAAAGGGUGCGUAGGUGGGCAGGUAAGUCAGUGGUGAAAUCUCUGGGCUUAACUCAGAAACUGCCAUUGAUACUAUCUGUCUUGAAUACCGUGGAGGUCAGCGGAAUAUGUCAUGUAGCGGUGAAAUGCUUAGAUAUGACAUAGAACACCAAUUGCGAAGGCAGCAGGCUACACGAAUAUUGACACUGAUGCACGAAAGCGUGGGGAGCAAACAGG
rnacentral:rRNA from 1 species